GGUUUGGUCCUAGCCUUGCAGUCAGUUAUUACUUAAUAUACACAUGCAAGUAUCCGCCCCCCUGUGAAAACGCCCUUUAAUCCCCUCUAGGGACAAGGAGCUGGUAUCAGGCACGAAAAUCUGCCCAAGACACCUAGCUAUGCCACACCCACAAGGGAAUUCAGCAGUGAUUAACAUUGAGCAUUAGCGCAAGCUUGACUCAGUUAAAGUAAGAUAGAGCCGGCUAAUCUGGUGCCAGCCGCCGCGGUUACACCAUGUGGCUCAAAUUGACACCUUCCGGCGUAAAGCGUGAUUAAAGUUAUUUAUUAAUAGAGUUAAACUGAAACUAAGCUGUGACACGCCUGUUUAUCAAGAAACCCAAAAACGAAAGUUACUCUAACUUAAUCAACUUGACUUCACGACAGCUGG
rnacentral:rRNA from 1 species